AGUAUCCCAAUACAACUUGUAAUUCUCAUUCUCCAGGAUGUUACAUGGUCGAUAUUCAAAUGGCUUCAUGAUUUUCCUUAUUAGCCCACAUUUCAUGGCAAUUUCCUGGUGAUAGACUCUAGCCAUCGCGUCGUGCCGCUGUGUAUAAUCCACCGGUGCCAAAACAGAGCAGGACGAUGUGACGUGCUGUAUGGACUCAGUCAUCUGGGAGCAUUUUCGGCAUUUGUCUGUUGGUAUAUUCCUUCCCGUAAUGUUCUUGAUAUAUGAUCUCGUCGAAACCACUUGGUCCUGGAUGGCGACUAACCUGCCCUCUGUUUCAGGAAACAGAUAUCCAGCUUUCAGGUAAGUAAGUGAUUCCGACUUAUCAACGUGACUAUUUUUCAGACUCCCAGGGUAUCUUCCGUGGAGCGCCUUGCCGUGCCACUCCUGUAUGAGCCCCUCGUUCGUGAGUCGCACCGGUUCCAGUUGGCCUGCCAAGUUUAACGGACUCAAGUUUUCAUCUGCCUGACAUAGAGCACUGUAGAAAGGUUCUGCAGCCCCCGCCCGCCGUCCCGUCUUGGGAUGUAAAGCCUAUUCACGGACGCAUGUGGAUGGUGAAUGCCAUGUCUGCCUGUCAAAAACCACCAUUAUGCUUUGCCUGAAGUUACCACUCCGAGCUUUGAUCUUGAACUCUGAUGCAAUCUGACGGGUCAGCUUUUCGACUCUAUUGGACGGCGUGUCCGUAUUAAGGUAAGUAUGCAGUAUGCCAAUGCUCCUUCUUAUGUUAUUGAUCUUCUUUUCCAGGCGAUAUUUCCAAGGAGGCGUUGUUUCGCCUUUUUUCGGUAGCGCAUCUUCGAUUUUCAUUCCCAGCUCAGAGCAUACUGUGAGUGCGCCCGCGUACACGAAAUCUGUGAUAUCUUCCAGCUGCAAGGUUGCUGAUAACUUGCUCUUCAUUAUUUCAUCUACCUCCUGUACCCUCUGUAGCAUGAUCCUUGACCCCUUCAUUCUUGGUAUUUUUGGCCUGUUUUCAGGUGUUAUUCCGGCGUACAAUGUAUAGUUCUUGAUUAGAGCUCGCUCUAGUUGGUCUUCUUUUAGUAUGGUCUCUUCUGUUGCCUCUGGAAUUCGGACUGGCGCUUCUUCUGCCAAGUGAUCAUCGCAAUCCAUCACGGCACCCCGCGGAUAGCAGCUGAGCAUGAUACUGUUCAGUUCGGUGUCGGUGAACUUUUCAUUGUUCAAUAGCCAUUUUACUCUGUUGGACAAGAGGUUAGCGUAGGUCUGCUUUUGUGGAUUCAAAUCAUUCCAGAUAUUUGUGAGUGCUUGCCUAUAAUUGCUGUUGGUGUUACGUUCCAAAUCCUUUGCUAUAUAAUGAACACGCAGCAACAGGAUGUUCUCCUCUUCAUUCCAGCGUGCUCGUCCAUCUCGUCUUGGAGCUUCAGCGGGACGAGCUCGACAGCUGUCCAAGCUAAUGCUCCUCCUUUCUCUUCUAGCAGGAACCGAGUUCUGGCUUACGGUGCCAUCUCGGGGGACUACGCCGCUCGCACCGCAGUUUACC